GACGUAGGGCGCGAGCGUUGUCCGGAUUUAUUGGGCGUAAAGAGCUCGUAGGCGGCUUGUCGACGUCGUCCGUGAAAACCUGGGGCUCAACUCCAGGCUUGCUGGUCGAUACGGGCAGGCUCGAGUUCGGUGAGGGGAGACGUAGGAAUUCCAUGGUGUAGCGGUGAAAUGCGCAGAUAUCAGGAGGAACACCGGUGGCGAAGGCGGGUCUCUGGACAGUUCCUGACGCUGAGGAGCGAAAGCGUGGGGAGCGAACAGG
rnacentral:rRNA from 1 species